UGGGGAAUAUUGGGCAAUGGGCGAAAGCCUGACCCAGCCACGCCGCGUGAGUGAUGAAGGCCUUCGGGUCGUAAAGCUCUGUGGGGAGGGACGAAUAAGCCUGUACCUAACACGUACGGGCCCUGACGGUACCUCCUUAGCAAGCACCGGCUAACCAUGUGCCAGCAGCCGCGGUAAUACAUGGGGUGCAAACGUUGCUCGGAAUUAUUGGGCGUAAAGCGCGCGUAGGCGGUCUUUUAAGUCGGAUGUGAAAGCCCUCGGCUCAACCGGGGAAGUGCAUCCGAAACUGAAAGGCUUGAGUACCAAAGAGGGUCGCGGAAUUCCCGGUGUAGAGGUGAAAUUCGUAGAUAUCGGGAGGAACACCGGUGGCGAAGGCGGCGACCUGGGUGGAUACUGACGCUGAGGCGCGAAAGCGUGGGGAGCAAACAGG
rnacentral:rRNA from 1 species